GUCUACAGCAAUGCUACCCUGAAUAAGCCUGAUCCCUUCUGAUCUUGGAAGCUAAGCAGGGUCGGGCCUGGUUAGUACUUGGAUGGGAGACCACCUAGGAAGACCAGGUGCUGUAAGUG
rnacentral:rRNA from 1 species